rnacentral:rRNA from 1 species
UACGUAGGGGGCGAGCGUUGUCCGGAUUUAUUGGGCGUAAAGAGCGUGUAGGCGGCUAGAUAGGUCCGUUGUGAAAACUCGAGGCUCAACCUCGAGACGCCGGUGGAAACCAUCUAGCUAGAGUCCGGAAGAGGAGAGUGGAAUUCCUGGUGUAGCGGUGAAAUGCGCAGAUAUCAGGAAGAACACCCGUGGCGAAGGCGGCUCUCUGGGACGUGACUGACGCUGAGACGCGAAAGCGUGGGGAGCGAACAGG